rnacentral:lncRNA from 1 species
AACAUGUCAUAGUUCUAAUAUGUGUUAAAUUAUUUGAUGUAUAUUAGAGAAAAUAAGCUUUAAGAUCUGUCUUAGUCUGUUUGUGUUGCUAUAAAGGAAUGCCUGAGGCUGGGUAAUUUAUAAAGAAAUGACGUUUAUUUGGCUCACAGUUCUGCAGGCUGUGCAAGAAGCCUGGCACCAGUGUCUAUUUUUGGGGAGGGUCUCAGACCGCUUCCACUUGUGGUGGAAGGCAAGAGGGAGCUGGCUUAUGCAGAUCACAUGGCCAGAUUGAAAAGCAAGAAAGCAGCGGAGGUGCCAGGCUCGUUUUCAACAGAGUUCUUACAGGAACUGAGAGACUUAUUUGCUGCUGCAAGAAUGUAUCAAGCCAUUCAUGAGAAAUCUGCCCUCAUGAUCCAAACACCUCCUACCAGGCCCACUUCCAAUACUGGGGAUCAAAUUUCAACACGAGUCUUGACACAGCCAAACAAACUACAUAUUUAAACCAGAGCAAGAGUGAUAUUUAAAUUUUAUACUGAAUAUAAUUCCAGUGAAUCUGUGCUGCCCAGCUGAGAGGCAGGAUUGAGUUUUCGAUGUGCUCUGAAUACCUGGUAACAUUCUCAAUGGCACUGCUUCAUUGGAAAAUCUUCUUUGAAAAGGCAACACACUCCAUCUGGAAGAACAGGAAAAUGCUCUAGACCUGGGAUGUAGCUGGAAGAGGAAGACCAGGGCUUCCUGAAUAAAGGCUUCAGAUGAAAAGAACCAUAGAUCUUGGCAAACUCCACACUCUGUAGACUACUAUCCAGAUCCAGUGGAUUCGAUGCAUGGAUGCUGAAGCCAUUUGAAAAUCAGGCCAGGCUGGUUUGCAAACAGAAGCUUGGGAAUCUCCAAACACGCCCCUUGGAACAGGCUCAUAAUCUGAUGGCAUCUGCAAGCUGCAGCUCAAGCCAAGGCUCCAUACUCUGGGCUUCCUUGUACUGGCUCAGUGGCUUCCUCGUCUGUGCAUGUACAUUUAUGUGCAUGCAUGCAUGUGGGAUGGAACAUGUUUGGCUGAGUGCAUCUUCAGGUGCACCUAGCACAGUGUCUGGGCUCUACUGAUAAUAUAUCUCACACAUACUAUGUACAGUUAUCUGUCAAAUGCUACAAAUGCUGCAAUGAAUAAAACACAUUUUAAAGCAUAGCUUUUUGUCAUUACAUCGUUUCUUGAUAAACCCAUACUUAAAGAAAAACUACUUUGACAUGGGAGAUUUCAAAGUAUUUUUAGCAUUAGAAAGAAGAAAAACAUUAG